CCCCCCCCGGUGGGUCCCUCGCGGCCCACACACCCGCCCCGGCCACGUCUUUCUGCCCCCGGGCUGAGGAGGGAGUCCCGCCCGACCCUCCUCCCGAGCGCGGGUGUCCCCCUGCCUCUGAGCCCCUUUGUGAGGUUCCUCGAGCCAAGGACCCAUGGAUGUGCCCUGGGUGCUCUGCUGGGUGCUGCGGUCACCCUGCCCCUCACACCUCUAUAUGCGGCCAGGCACGCGCUCCCCGCAGGUGAGCUCCCUACGGGUGGACGCGAGGCCUCGGCAGCUGUGCCGGAUGGUUCUGGGAGCACAGGCCGAAAGGACAGGAACACUCAGUGCCUUUCUCCGUUCAAGGACAAGCCCCUGCUCUGGCACUUCCUCACAGCCUGGUUCCUCUUUGAGGACAGCUCCGGCCGUAUCGUCCUGCAGUGUGGUUGUGGUGUUAGAGUGAGGCACAGCACAGCUCAGUGAAUGACGACGAGGAUGGUGUGCGCUGUCUCUGCUCUUGGCUUGCCUUGAAUCAUUUCAGCACUACUGGAAGUUCCGCUGUUGUCCAGGUCUUCUCUGUCCUUUGAGGUUUUGUAUUAGCUACACUUCUCUCACCCAUGUGUAAUUGUCUUAAAUUAUAUCUCAGCCUUUGAAAAAGAAAUCCCUCUACUAAUCCUUUUGAGAACAUUAUGUUUGCCCUCUGAUACCCACAUUGGCCUGUCAGCUUGGAAAAUGCCAGCCUUCUAAUGACUGAAGGAUUAUAAAUCUAUUGCUAAGCGUUU